GAGUUUGAUCCUGGCUCAGGACGAACGCUGGCGGCGUGCCUAACACAUGCAAGUCGAACGGACGAAGGAGCUUCGGCUCCCUAGUUAGUGGCGAACGGGUGAGUAACGCGUGAGCAACCUGCCUUUCAGAGGGGGACAACAGCUGGAAACGGCUGCUAAUACCGCAUAACAUGAUUUAGCCGCAUGACUGGAUCAUCAAAGAUUUAUCGCUGAAAGAUGGGCUCGCGUCUGAUUAGCUAGUUGGUGAGGUAAAGGCCCACCAAGGCGACGAUCAGUAGCCGGACUGAGAGGUUGAACGGCCACAUUGGGACUGAGACACGGCCCAGACUCCUACGGGAGGCAGCAGUGGGGGAUAUUGCACAAUGGGGGAAACCCUGAUGCAGCGACGCCGCGUGGAGGAAGAAGGUUUUCGGAUUGUAAACUCCUGUUGUUGAGGAAGAUAAUGACGGUACCUGACUAAGAAGCCCCGGCUAACUACGUGCCAGCAGCCGCGGUAAUAC
rnacentral:rRNA from 1 species